CUGCGCCACUGGCGGGUGCCUGGGUCCUGGUCCCGGCUUCGGUGCACCAAGUAGGCCGGCCUGGUGAGAAGUGUUAGAAGUUCUCGAGAGAGUGGGAGCUCUUAUCAGUCGGAAACUCAUAAAGAAAGGAGAAGGGGCGGAGAGGGAAUAAAUGAAGAUAUUUGAUCCCCUUGCAAAACUUUUGGCCUUUGAACUUGAACGUGGAGCUUUACUCCAUCAAGAAUAUGAUUUUCUUGUAGUGCAUUCUGAAGUUCUUCUGAAGAAAACUGAAUCCAACCCAUACCUCUGUGAAAUCCAGUCUCUUUGUCAAAAGCAACUUGAAUAUAUUGGCCCACUGCCUUCUGGGCUCCAAAGUUUCUGAUGAGAAAUCUGCUAGUAAUCUUACUGAGGAUCUCUUGUACACAACGAGUCACUUCUCUUCUGCUCCUUUCAAGAUUCUCUUCACCCAGCCAGAAUUACUCUGAUUAUUAUUUCCCAACGAACACGGAAGGUAUCACAGGCUCCCUCCACCGCUGCAGCCCUGACUGCCUCCCUGCCUGAGACCAGUCCCUUGUUGGGGCGCUGAAACCCAUCUCUGCUCCAUCCAGUCCACCUGUUCCAGCAACUACCAGGAGGGUUUCUAGAAGUGGGGUGGGAGUAGGGGGGAGUUGUCCAGUGGAGUGAGUGGUUAGCUAAGAUGAUUGCCAUAGAACUGACCAGACUGACCAAAAUGGUCAUUCGGGUAAUGUCGGAUUGCUGCCCUUGGAAACAACUGACCUUUCUUUUUGA